GAUGAACGCUGGCGGCGUGCCUAAUACAUGCAAGUCGAGCGAACAGACGAGGAGCUUGCUCCUCUGACGUUAGCGGCGGACGGGUGAGUAACACGUGGAUAACCUACCUAUAAGACUGGGAUAACUUCGGGAAACCGGAGCUAAUACCGGAUAAUAUAUUGAACCGCAUGGUUCAAUAGUGAAAGACGGUUUUGCUGUCACUUAUAGAUGGAUCCGCGCCGCAUUAGCUAGUUGGUAAGGUAACGGCUUGCCAAGGCAACGAUGCGUAGCCGACCUGAGAGGGUGAUCGGCCACACUGGAACUGAGACACGGUCCAGACUCCUACGGUAGGCAGCAGUAGGGAAUCUUCCGCAAUGGGCGAAAGCCUGACGGAGCAACGCCGCGUGAGUGAUGAAGGUCUUCGGAUCGUAAAACUCUGUUAUUAGUGAAGAACAAAUGUGUAAGUAACUAGGCACGUCUUGACGGUACCUAAUCAGAAAGCCACGGCUAACUACGUG
rnacentral:rRNA from 1 species